rnacentral:rRNA from 1 species
UACGAAGGGGGCUAGCGUUGUUCGGAGUUACUGGGCGUAAAGGGCGCGUAGGCGGCGCACCAAGUCAGGCGUGAAAGCCCUGGGCUCAACCCGGGAAUUGCGCUUGAGACUGGUGUGCUUGAGUACGGGAGAGGAUAGUGGAAUUCCCAGUGUAGAGGUGAAAUUCGUAGAUAUUGGGAAGAACACCGGUGGCGAAGGCGGCUAUCUGGACCGUAACUGACGCUGAGGCGCGAAAGCGUGGGGAUCAAACAGG